UGAAGCUGGAUUCGCUAGUAAUCGCGCAUCAGCCAUGGCGCGGUGAAUACGUUCCCGGGCCUUGUACACACCGCCCGUCAAGCCAUGAAAGCCGGGGGUACCUGAAGUACGUAACCGCAAGGAUCGUCCUAGGGUAAAACUGGUAAUUGGGGCUAAGUCGUAACAAGGUAAC
rnacentral:rRNA from 1 species